GUUUCCCCUCAGGGAUCAAUAAAGUAUUUCUGAUUCUGAUUCUGACAUUGGUUGCACUCUUCUUUUCUCUUUGAAUACUGAACAUGCAUUUGAUUAUAUCCUGUAUGUAGUAUUUGCCAUGCCAGGCCGUUUAUUGCUGACCAGAUGUCUUUAUUGGUUUUCCAGGGUUGGUUUCAGCCAUACUGAUCAGGUCUGGUAAUACGUGUGUGUAUAGAUGUUUGUGUUGUUGGGGUGUGGAUUCCUGGGAAGGGGUCAUCAACAACAUAAACAAUAUAUGGGAAAUAUAUUUUUUAUAGAGGACAUUGAGAUUUAGAGAAUUAUUUAUGUUUUUUUUUUCUUGUUUUCUGUUAUUUCUAUUAUGCAUUAUGAUGUUCUAUUAUGCAAAAACAAAAACAAGAAUGCACAUUUCACAAUAUUGUUUGAGUGAUUUCUUUCAUCACUCUCCUCACCAUUGCUGAUCAUGUGAAAAAAAUCAAUAAAAGCCCGAUUAAGAAUUGUCAUUUUUCCCAAAAAGGGAUGACCAGAUGUUUUGGCAUGGAAACCAAAAGCAUGAACGCGCCAAACAUUGCUGAUCACUCUGAUACUGAUCAUACUGCUCUGUAACUAGAUAAAAAGCACAAUAUGUUGUGUUAUGUUGUUAAGUUCUGCGGGGAAACUGGCUCCGACCUGAAUAUCCAGGCACUUCCAUGUAGGCAGGGGAGCUGGAAGGAAGGAGGGGUCGGUGGAUUACGUCAGAAUCAGGCUCCUCUGACUCAUCAGCCCUCUCUCGCUCUCUCUCUCUCCCUGCUUUUUUCAGCGCUUGGCUGCAUCAGCCUGUCACAUGAUGACAAUCAGUCCAGAAAUGGUUGCCAAGGAAGCUCUCUCCCUCACAACGCCUCGGCCCUGAGUCAUAGAUUGCCAGAGUUUUACAAAUCUACUGUAAACUGGUUCGGUGUUGACAGCCAGACUCCAGGAUCACAGAUUGCUUUAAUGCUGUUUGCAUAAGCCAUGGUGUCAUAAAUAGACUGUAGCAAAAUAAAUGUAUUCUGAGUGUUAUGUAUUUUGUGUGGCUGUGUUUGCAUAACUCUGUAAAUCCAGGACUCUGCCUCAGUCCAUUCCCCUUUCUCUCGCUGUGGCUGGCAAGCCUUCCUUAGCAACAGCAGUCCCUGUGACAACUGAUGCAAGCAGCAGUUUUCAGAUACAGAAGAACGCUGUGCAUUUAUUCAGUAGGGUUGUUGCGUUGUCACCUCUUGAACAUCACAUUCUCUCUUAAAAAGUGUCAGCUGCAAGCAUACAGACUUUCAUGUCACCCCACACACACACACACACACCACCAGGUUCACUAUGUCUGCAGUGUUACUCACAUUAUCUCUGUUCAUGAAAUUGUUUUGUACAUGGAAUCACAGUAUUUGGCAGCAUGCUGAUCUUUCCAUUCCCAGCUAUUUUCAUUUGCAUCCCAACGUGUUAUUGUUUGCUUUACAAAGCCUGUAUUCAAAAACACACCUGCAUUAUUUUCCGUUGUGUUGUGUUGUUGCUGCAAAUGUCUCUACUUUCUCCUUCUCCACCUUGCUAACGUAGUAAUAUUGAGUCUCUUUCAUUUACAGCAGCUAUAUGUAGGCCUAUUUUGUGACUCAGCAUGAGUGCAUUUGUAACAUGAGCGGCCCUACUUGGUACCAAACAAGUAGUGGCAUGUAGUAUUAUUACAUGUAGUAUUUCAAAAUAUUAAUAUACAACGGUCACAUUACUACCACACUAAUAAAAUAAAGACAACAGGGCAAAGCUCUCAUACUGGUGUUUGUGUUUUAUGAACAUGUUUGGUAACAAAUUGCUUCCUACCACUUCCUGUGUUGCACUAUAAAUCAGAGAUGGGCAAUCUCGUGUCCCAGAGAGCCACACAUCUGCAGGUUUCUAAUCAAAGACAACAGUAGUUUCAGAUAAAGUUGUCUUUUGUUAGACUCAUAACAUGGAUUGAUAAGAUGAUUGUGUAUAGCACUUUUUUCAUGUUACUGUAAGACACAGUGUAUCUCAUUUUGAACUGAUGCUUUUCUUCAGGCAAUAUAGAGAUAAAGAGCAAAGAUCAUGGGCAGCAUGAGCUUUGGUAUCUAUCCCAGUCUAGGAAAACAACAGCUGAUUAAUUAUUCAGUCAUGCAAAAUGAGUUGUAAAUGUGUGAACCUCAGUAGGGACACUUCAUUAUACUAUAAAAGGGAGCAGAGACUACAAGGUGAGUGAUUUCCAUCUGAAUGGAGGUGGACUUUCUCCUCCAGAAGGUUGGUGGAGAGAGAGAGAGAGACGGAGAGAGAGAGCAAAUCUAUACAAUAAUAAUGUUAUCAAUGCUGUGGCCAGUGAAUUAUGUGCAGACAAUGUAUUUUUAAUGUGAGUGACAGCAACUGUGCACUGCACAAACCAACUGCGGGGCAGGAAAUGCUUAAUGCUGGUAUAGAUAAAAAUCAUCAAAGAUGAUCACUGACAUGAAACAAGAUUAAGAUUAACAUGCUUCCUAAUCCUACAUGUGUAAUCUCUUUUGUAGCAUAUGUCUCUGAGUCUUUGCAGUUUUGUUAGAAGGGUGUAGCUAUGAUGAUGUUGUUUACCGUUUUUGGUCAAAAUACUGCAUAUGUAUGAAGUUUGUCCCAAUAUAUGGCAACAAUAUCCACAAUGGCAUCAAAGAAAGAAAGAGAGGAGAAAAAUAGAAAGUAAGAAAAAUGGAGUAAGAAAAGGAGAGAGAUGCAAGGAAGUGCAAGACAGCGACAACUUGUGUGUGUUUGUGUGUGUGUGUACACAAACAGCCAGGCUCAGGUGUGAAAGUCUGGUUUGUCAUCCCAUUGUGCCUCCUCUCCCCGCCUGUUUAUCUUUUCCAACACAAUCAAAGAGGAAACAUUUCAAAGUGUCUAACUGCUGUAACUGGUUGAACGUCUCUCGUAUCCAGACCGCUUUAUUCAUUCUCGCAGUUGUAAAGAUACAAGAGCAAAGGUGAGAUGAUACUGAAGAGUGGCUGCUCUUUACACAUACUUUCAAUACUUGAUUUCAAACAUUUUGGACAAAAUGGUUUCAUAUUUUCCUCAAUACUCAACAGAUAAAUGCAGUGCUGUUUUAUUACUUUAACUCUGAGGAAAGCCACUAACUUAAUUUAAUGACUGGAUUUUCUUUUGUAUGAGUAAUCACUUACAGAGCAGAAAUCAAAUCUUUUCUCUAAUCUGUCUGAACUAAAUCUUCACUUUCCCUUCAAACUCUUGCAUAUUGUGCACAUGACUUUUUAAAUCAUUUGGUACCUUUGUGUCUUUUGGGAUUUGAAAGCCACACAUAUGUUAAAAUUAAAAGCUGUGUGAAAACAAAUGUUUGAAAAGUAUAUAUAAAGGUAUAAUAAAGUUCUAAUAUGUAAUUAUAACAAAUAUCUUGUAUAACUGUUCACUUUUGGAAGUAGAUUUUACAUUUGAGAUGUUGUGUUUUAAGGUGAUUUGAGGUUGUAUUUCUGUACUGCCAUUAAUUAAAUAAAAAAAACUACAAGUCAGUCACAGUAUAUGAUGCAGAUGUCUUUUUUUUUUAGGAUGAAGGUCAUUAAGACAAAAUAUGAGCCAGGUGCACCAACCAUGCUGUCAUAGCUGUUGAUUGGAUCAAGAUUUAGCAGACAAUGUCAAAUACUGCUUCCGAGAAAAAAGAUAAUCUGAAAUCUUGUCCUGGAAUUAAGAUUGCUUUUAAUUGAGGAUGAUCUUGUGUUUGGGGAUUAGUCCUAAUUAGUAACAGCAUGAGGAAAGAACAUCUGCCCAGAUGGUAUAGAUUAGGACUUACAUUAUACUGUCCGUCUAAUAUGGUCAUUAAAAAUGCUAAGAAAAAACACAAUUUUCAUUUUCAGCAGAAGCUGUGUGUGUGAGAUCUAAAAUUCAGAAAGUUACCAGUUUUAAUGUGCCAUCUACUGACCACUCCAGGUUACUACCGUUCAGGUAGUUGAGAUAUGUUGUGUUAUGUCGCCAUCUGGUGGCCACUAAGUUAAACUUGUUAAGAAACUAACUUUUGACUUAAAUGUGUAGUUUGUUUCCAGUAAAGUUAUUAGGAGCAGAGAGAACAUGUUGCAUGCAGUUAAUCUAAAUGAUGUGAAAGCGUGUUUAGUCUGUUAGAGUAGGCCUUUUGUGCCAAUGUCCCUGCUCUGACAGACUAGAUGUGAUCAUCAAACGGACCCAAAGGACUGAUACGUCACUCGACAUGCGCACUGUGCAAGCUCAGCCAGUGUUUUAGUGCAGAACAGGUCGUCGGUGAUUUCUGUAAGUUGUGCGAAAGUGAAACUCUAAGUGUUACCUCAUUUAUUAGGUUAUUAAUGAUUAUGUUAGUUUCAUGCUGGUUAAAAAUUAGCCUACAAAUAGAUAUUACACAGUACUGCGACCCAAAGCAACUGAAUGAACAGGCUGUAAUCCAUAGUUUGAUGAUACCUUAGUAUUUUUAUUCUGAAAGAUUUAUACUGAGCAAUCUAAUAACAAUGAGUGGCAGUGUUUAUGUUUUACUAUGUUUGUUUGUUUAUGUAUUAGUUCAACAGGUUAUUAUUUCUCACCGUGUGGCCACUACUAGUAAUGAAAACCUGACUUAUUAUUUAUCAUUAAUUAUAUUAAUUACAGCUAAAAAAUUACAUAAAAUGUAAUUUAAAAAAGCAUAAUAUAUUAAUAACAAAUUUUGUAUCAUAUCUUACAUGUUACAGUCAGGGCUGGCUCAGAUAGUGUUAGUAUCACAGUAUCCCUCCACUGCAGCUCAGAGAUUUGUCUUGAUUUGUCUAAGUCGGACUGCUGACGCCUCGUAUUAGCUUCAGAUAAAGUUUGGAAUACAUUUUUACACAGAACCAGGACUGUGGAUUUUGUCUCCCGUCACUUACUGUACAUGGAAAGCACAUUAGGAAGGGAUUUUGAAAGGCUGGUAUGAACAGGAGGAAUAAUUACAGCAAGCAACAACUGUUUCAAUGUUAAUAUGGGAACCUGACUGGUGUUUUAAGAACUGAAAAAUUGUGAACCUUUCCUUUCAAAUAUUCUGGUUAAGGUUGUCAUAAGCUAUUCUGGUGUGAUAUAGGGUUCUGGUUAGAACCAUGGUUUGUCAUAGUUAGCCACUAUGCCCCCUGAUCCUUUUGUCCUCUUCUGUAUCUGCCUUCCCCUGUGUUUCCUGGCGGUCCCCUGUUCGUCUUGUUUGUGUGUGUGUGUGUGUUUGUGUCUGGGUUCUGGGCUGGUUUCCAGAUCUCCCGGCUGCUAUUGAUUACCGGCACACCUGAUCAUUAUUAUCAUCAACCACCACAGUUAUCUACCGGGCUCAUCCACACUUCCAGCGCCAGAUCGUCUUCGUACCCAACCUCUGUGUUGCCGGUGAUCACUUCCUCGUGCCACGGCCAUCGGACUCUAGUCUCAGUCUCAGCGUGUCUUCACCCGAUCAGCCCAGCCUUCCACCACGCCAGCCAGUCCAGAACCCGCUUCCCUGGUCUCCGCUCAACGCACCGCCCUCCAGCCUCUGUCCAGUCCGGUCGAACUCUCCGUACUACAACGCACUUCGCCAGACACGCCGCGAUCUCCGGAUCUAUCCACACAAUAAAACUGUUCUGACCUUGA